GUCAAGUAAGAAUACCCGCUGAACUUAAGCAUAUCAAUAAGCGGAGGAAAAGAAACUAACUAGGAUUCCCUUAGUAACGGCGAGUGAACCGGGAAGAGCUCAAAUUUUAAAUCACCUUGGUGAAUUGUAAUUUGAAGAAAGUGUUUUGACUUUUCAGUUUAAUCCAAAUCCUUUGGGAUGAGGUAUCACAGAGGGUGAGAAUCCCGUUCGUGAUUAGACAUCGGAAUGCAUUAAUUCACUUUCUAAGAGUCGAGUUGUUUGGGAUUGCAGCUCAAAAUGGGUGGUAAAUUUCACCUAAGACUAAGUAUAUGCGAGAGACCGAUAGCGAACAAGUACCGUGAGGGAAAGAUGAAAAGAACUUUGAAAAGAGAGUUAAACAGUACGUGAAAUUAUUGAAAGGGAAACGAUUGAAGUCAGUCAUGCUAGUGAGAAAUCAACUUGUGUGGAGCGAGUUUUUUCUCAAUCUUCCUUGUGUACUUUCUUGCUUGGCAGGUUAGCAUCAAUUUUGGUUGUCAUCAAAGAAUUGGGGAAAUGUGGCUUCUCUUCGGUGAAGUGUUAUAGACCCUGAUAGAUGUGACGACUGAGAUUGAGGAUUGCAGCGGAUGCCUUUGGGCUAGUCACCUAUCUUCUGACUGUCACCUCGCUCCUGACAGCUUGCUGAUGAUUGCGGGAUUUGGCGAUCUAGGAGUUAGAGUGAAUAUAAAUUCGCUAAGGAUGCUGACGUAAUGGCUUUAAACGACCCGUCUUGAAACACGGACCAAGGAGUCUAACAUAUGUGCGAGUGUU
rnacentral:rRNA from 1 species